rnacentral:misc_RNA from 1 species
GAAACGCGAUAGUUAAUGUGAAUUGCAGAAUUCAGUGAAUCAUCGAGUCUUUGAACGCACAUUGCGCCCAUAGGUAUUCCUUUGGGCAUGUCUGUUUGAGCGUCAUUACAACCCUCAGCUAACCGCUGGUUUUGAACCUGAACGGGUGACACCGCGCCGGUAUUAAAGUUGUAAGCUCUGCUGGCCGCUCUGCCCAACCAGAACAUAGUAAGCACUACUUGUCCGGGUGAAGCUGAACGGUACGGCCUGAACAAAACCUACCCACUCUCAAGGUUUGACCUCAGAUCAGACAAGGAUACCCGCUGAACUUAAGC